AGAGGGUGACCGGCCACACUGGGACUGAGACACGGCCCAGACUCCUACGGGAGGCAGCAGUGGGGAAUAUUGGACAAUGGGCGGAAGCCUGAUCCAGCAACGCCGCGUGAGGGAUGACGGCCUUCGGGUUGUAAACCUCUUUCAGUAGGGACGAAGCGAAAGUGACGGUACCUACAGAAGAAGCACCGGCCAACUACGUGCCAGCAGCCGCGGUAAUACGUAGGGUGCGAGCGUUGUCCGGAAUUAUUGGGCGUAAAGGGAUCGUAGGCGGUUUGUCGCGUCGGGUGUGAAAACCCAGGGCUUAACCCUGGGCUGGCUUUCGAUACGGGCAGACUAGAGGUAUGCAGGGGAGAACGGAAUUCCUGGUGUAGCGGUGAAAUGCGCAGAUAUCAGGAGGAACACCGGUGGCGAAGGCGGUUCUCUGGGCAUUACCUGACGCUGAGGAGCGAAAGUGUGGGGAGCGAACAGGAUUAGAUACCCUGGUAGUCCACACCGUAAACGUUGGGCGCUAGGUGUGGGGUCCAUUCCACGGAUUCCGUGCCGCAGCUAACGCAUUAAGCGCCCCGCCUGGGGAGUACGA
rnacentral:rRNA from 1 species